rnacentral:rRNA from 1 species
CGGGUGAGUAACGCGUGGAUAACCUGCCGUAUACAGGGGAUAGCACUUAGAAAUAGGUGCUAAUACCGCAUAAGCGCACGGUUCCGCAUGGAACAGUGUGAAAAACUCCGGUGGUAUACGAUGGAUCCGCGUCUGAUUAGCUUGUUGGCGGGGUAAUGGCUCACCAAGGCGACGAUCAGUAGCCGGCCUGAGAGGGCGGACGGCCACACUGGGACUGAGACACGGCCCAGACUCCUACGGGAGGCAGCAG